GCGGCAACUGCAGUAUACGGUACCCACGCGCACGUCAUAGAUGCCAAGCACUGCAGCACCGUCUCCCCUGGACUGUCUCCGUGAAAGCACCCCGUGGGCGCUCCCACGCUGCAUCCCUAAGACGAGCAGGGAUUGCUUGCUUUCAACAUUAGGAAUCCUGUACCUUCCUGUGUGGAUCACGAAAUGUUGGCGUGUGCUGCUUUUCAAGUCAUGCAGCAUUAUAUAUGACAAUUUGUACAUACUGCAGUUUAGGCUAUUUAUCUGUUUAGGCUGCAAUCCUAUGCAUACACCUGGGAGCAGGCCCCACUGAGGAACGCAGUGGAGCUGACUUCUGAGUAAACAUGAAUAGGAUUGUGCUGUACAUCCAUAAGAUGUGUAAGUAUGUUUUGUGUUUACAUUUGAAAUAAUCAUAGGGACAAAAGCAUCCUUUCAUAUUUGUUGCACUGGCAUAAAUUACUUAAGUUA